UUAUCCUACGGGGCGCAGCAGUAGGGAAUCUUCCACAAUGGACGAAAGUCUGAUGGAGCAACGCCGCGUGAGUGAAGAAGGGUUUCGGCUCGUAAAGCUCUGUUGGUAGUGAAGAAAGAUAGAGGUAGUAACUGGCCUUUAUUUGACGGUAAUUACUUAGAAAGUCACGGCUAACUACGUGCCAGCAGCCGCGGUAAUACGUAGGUGGCAAGCGUUGUCCGGAAUCACUGGGCGUAAAGGGCGCGUAGGCGGUAAUAUAAGUCAGAUGUGAAAGGUGGGGGCUCAACCCCUAGAGUGCAAC
rnacentral:rRNA from 1 species